ACUGGACUUGACGUAGGUAGUGUCAAUGCGGCGACAUUCCUAGUCCUGAGAGUUGAGUCGGGAGGAGGUCACAGGGAAUUCCAACGUGUGUGGGUCAUGUGACCCGUGCGAUUGGCAUGUGUGGACAGAGUUCCUGUCUUCUUUAGUGAUCAGUGAUCACUGCACUGAGAUUUUAUGUAAGAGCGAGGGGACGUUUGUUUUGCAUUCACACUUCUUGGAGGAUUAGCAUCACCUGCGAGGCUCACCUGCCUCCUUCACAUGUCUUGCGUACACAUUCAUACAAGUCGCUGUGAUCUUGAUGGCACAUUUAUUUCAAGGUUAUUUUCAGAUAGAGCAGGCUAAGCGGACUGAUGGUCAGGGAUGUCAGCGGAUUUAACAAACUAGCUUGAGGACAAACAAGUUUCCAUAGAAAAUACAGUCGCGAAUCGCUCCAACCAGGAUCCAAAGAUGCCAGACUGUGCCAUUUAAGUGAGCAAUAGUUAGACUGUGUGAAGGUCAUUCACAGUGUUUAAGUCAAAGUAGAGCGGGACAUUUGAUUUACUCUCAGCGGAAUUGACCGGAGAAGGCAUCAGUUCAUGCACUGCACUGGCCUACACCAUGAUUAGUAUAAGGCACAUUUCACGAAGCAGAACGCAGUCUUCAGAGAUAUCCACGUGAACGCUGUGAUACGUCUGACCUUCAGUCCGAAGAAGAAACCCAGACCAGUCUUAAAAGAAA